GUGAAGAUGGCAAUGACGGCUGCAGUCCAAGCCCUAGUGGGCAGAUGAGGAGCAGCCCCUCUCCUUAAAAAUAAAGCCGGAUUCCUAACAUUCUCUUCAACCCACGGCUGUGCAGGGCAGAGUCUCAACACAGGAAUUGGAACAUAACAAAUCUGCCGACUGCCAGCUUUGAUCUCACAAGGAUGGAGUUGGGGAGGUGAAGAGAAAGUAAAUGCUCUCUCGACUUUCCAAAGGAAAACAAUUUUCUUUCUUGCAGGGGUGCCAGUUACAGCUGAUGAUGGCUGACGUUGGGAGAUUUCAAAGGUGCCUGGGUCUGGAAAAUUCUCACCCAUCAAGAGGAGAAAAUCUAACUAAAAUAUUUUCACCCAUUUUAUGUCACUGAUGGCUGCAAAGUGAACCCAGGGCGCCUCUGUGGCUGGAGAGACAGGUGCUGCACCAGGGAGACAGGAGUCCAAGUGAAUUUUUGAAAAGAACGCUCUGAAAUUUGGCUGGUGAAAAAAGCAAAGACCAGGCAUUGCAACCUGGGCUCUGACCUCAACAACGUGUGUCACCUUGGGCAGGCCCCCUUUGCUGCCUCCUAAUUUCCCCAUCUAGGGUGGAAGUUUUAUUAAAGAGGAGGAGGGAGUUUUGAAAUCAAACUGACUUGGAAUCUUGGUUCUACCACUUGCUAACUGCAGGGCUUUCCUUAACCUUUCUACCUUACCUAUCUGGACUCAUGUAGCCUCAUCUGGUAAGUGACAGCGAUAUUCUAUAUCUUUAGGCAGUGCCAAAUUACCUUAAAGAAGGGCUAAGCACAUGUUUGGGGCACUAGAAAAGUAGAGUACCAGGGGAAGAAAAAGUGUGAGAUAAUCAGGAGGUCUAGAAUCAAAAGCUGCUUAAAUUUUGGCAUUAUGAGAGCGUCGUGUCAUUCUGAAAAAUAAUUUAAAAGUACUUAAUAUAUUUAAUUGAAAAUUAUAUAUGGAAUGUAUGGGUGUGCAUUAUAUAUAGAAUAUGCUUUGCUCCUUGGAAUGCUGUGAGAUUGAAUGCAAUUAUACAUAUAAAAUAAUUAACACAGUGCCUAGAAGUUGGAAGAACUCUGUAAAUAGUUGUAGCAGCUACUGUUGGUAAAUGAGUAAGCUACAUUCCAAAAUAUCUGCAGUCCUUUUUUAAGCCCCAGUGUUCUAGGAUUCUGCCUGGAGGGAGGAUGCUUAAUUUCAGAUAAUAGCUGCAUCAGGACCAACAUGGGCCAAUGGGGAUUUCCAAAGAAGGAUGGUCCAAAGCACGCUGGGAAAGUUGGCAGGAUUUGCCCUAAGCAUCACUGAAGUUGAUGAUAUGAUGAGACACAGCUCAUCUGGUCUCAAACUAUCUCCCCCAGCAGUCAUGGUACCCAACAUUUUGCAACUAGAAAGAAGCCCAUAUCUGCUAACUCACCAAGACUAGAAACCAUUCUUGAUGUCACUAUGAUGUACAUCAUUUUACCUAAGAUUUACUUAUCUACCUAUAUCCAUCCAUCCAUCCAUCCAUACAUCCAUCCAUCCAUCCAUCCAUCCAUCCAACAUCAGGAACCUUCUGAAGGCUAACUGCACCAUAUGGUGGAUAUGAUGGAUAGAUUUUAGUCCUCUUUCGUUGUUGGCACUCCAAAUUUGGGAUGGGAAUUGUCAUUGAGCAGCUAUUCUGUGCUAUCUAGACGCUUUAGACACAUUAUCCCACUUAAUCCUAAUGACGGCACUAAGAGCUAUAGAUAACAAUGUUUAUAAGGUAAUAAUAGCUACGAUUUAUUGAGUGUUACUAUGUACUGGCCACUGUGCUUAGCCUUUUAUAUGAGAUAUCACAUUUAAUGUCCCCAACAGUUUUGAGAAGAACUCUUAUUUCUUUGAUUUACCAUUAUUGCCCAGCUUCAGAAAGGUUAAGUGACUAGCCCAAGGUCACACGGCACAUUAGAGGUCAAAGCAAGCCUCUUUCCCUGGUCUUUGUAAUUCCAGGUUGGUCACUGUCUGCUUCACUGUGCCUCUAGCUAACUGAUUUUCUCUUGGAGGGAGGCAUGCGGGCUCCCAACCUCACUAGACAAUCAUGGGAGGAGGAAAGACAAGGGCUUUCUCACAGAGUUAACUCUCCACUCCUUGCCCCCUGGGGAAGGGCACCCCCUCCUGAGCAUCCUGACAGGUCAGCCUGCACUCAAAGUAGCCUUUCGGGGGGCCCUUGAUGGCUCCCAGAUGGGAACGCACACAGCUGUCAGGUGCUUCCGAGAGUCUCUGGAUCCUAAGAGCACUGGCGGUGUGCCUGUAGGAUUAAUUGCUUCUCUGGCUUCCAGCAGGGAAGCGGGGUGUGGUAACAUCUUGGCUUGGUUAAGGAUGAAGGGGCAGGCACACAGGUGGCAGAGAGCAUGCCUCUGUAGCACAGGAUCAGAGGAAACUAUGUGGCUGAGAACAGCUCCUGGUAGGUAGGGAAGCCCAUGAGGACCUCACUUCCCCUAGAAGGAAGAUGUCAGAAGCUGAUGUCCUUUCCCCCUGUGCAGUUCUAAAAUUAUGUAACUGGAAGAGGUGCCACAGGAAAACCUGUUUCUAUCAUCCUUAUUCGUUCUGUGUGGUCUUCCUCCUUGUCUUUCUUACAAUUCUUCUUCCACAGUUAAUUUUUUUCAGGCACCUUCUAUAUCUCAUGCUCUGGAAAUACCAAGAUGAACCAUGCAGACCCUGACCCCAUGGAGUUGAGAGUCUGGUGGUGGAAGACAGACAUCAUCAAACGCUGGCACAAAUAAAGGCACAUUUAUUUACUUGAGGGGUUACAUGUUAAGUCACGGAGGCACAGAUUCUAGAGGAGCCAGUAGCAGGGCCUGAGCUUGGUCCAGGGUUGGCCAGGAAGCUCUUUCCUGCAGAAGUAAUGCUUGCACUCAGGACCAAAAGAUGACCAGGUGAAGAGUCACCUCACUCCUUGAAACCUCAGUUUCCUUCUUUGUAAAGUGGGAUGAUAGUAACACCUACAUUCCAGGAUAUUUGUGAGGAUAAACUGAGAUGACACAGGUGAAAAUGAGUAGUACGGAGUCUGGUACAUAGUCAGUGCCCAUCGUAUCAUGGCUUUGGCCAUAGUCCCUCGAUGUGAAGUGAAGUUCCCAUAGAUUGGAAGGCCUAUCGUUGACUUAGAAACUGCUGCCCAAGGGACAAAGAAGAAUGCAAGCCCACUAUGUGAAAUGGAAGCACACAGAAAAGGAAGGGCCUCACUCUGCUCUCUCUCUUCUGUGUGUGUGUGUGUGUGUGUGUGUGUGUGUGUGUGUGUGUGUAUGAUGAGAAGUUUGCACAGAGAAGCUGGUGUUUAGGCCAGGUCCUGAAUGGUAGAUAGCAGUUUACAAGAGAAAAGGGGGAGGAAGGGUGUCAGAGAUAAAAGGAACAUCAAUGCAAAGUGAUACAAGGAUGAGAAUGAGUGUCAUCCGCCUUGUCAGAUGCCUGGGGAAAUUCCAAUGGGCACAUGGAACAGAUCCCCAAACAAAACAACCUUUAAUAACACAAUACUAUUACUCCUAAUGGCAAUAACGGCAAAAGCAAUAAUCACAAUGACCACAAUAGCAACAGCCGUUACCAUGCAUUGACAGGUUACUCUCUUUCAGGCACUGUACAUGGGUAACUUCACCUGAAAUGCUGAAAAUAAAUCUUGCUCAUUCUUUCCUGGGAUAUAGUGAAUGACUUCAUGCCCUACAUUGUAUGGGCUACCCACAUAGGUGAGGAAUUGAGGAUACAGCCAUGGAGGAUUUUUCUGUUAAACCUCAGAAGGGAUGCUCUCAAUUUCUGCAAGGCUCUCCUGGGCAACAUGAACGGUCCAGACAAGUUCAUUCAUUUUUUUGUUUUUCUGGAGGGUUAAAUGGGGGAUAGAGUAUUCAGGAGGUAGGUUUAGCUCAGUCCAAGGAUGGCUACAAAGAGCUGUGGUAGGUAGUGCUCUGACAAAGAGUUCCCUGUCGUGGGGAUAUUCAAGUGUAACUCAGUUAAUUUCUUGUUGGGGAUGUUCUGAGCAUGGUCAGAACAAAGAGAAAGGGAAAUUCAGGGGGAAUUGGUCUAGAAGAUCCCUUCAAUUCCAGGAUGCUGUGGUUUCAGGAAGGCAGGAAUGAUCUACCAUGAAAGGUUUUUACAACAGUAGGAAACAUCAUCAUCUUGGCUUUGCCUGUCUCCAGGAGGCUUGAAUGUGAUUUGCAUAACCACAGGGGGAUGGAUGUCUUGAUCUUUCACAGUUUUUUUCCAGCCCUUAGAAUCAUUCUGGUCUUUGCUUGCAACCUCCUUUAGAACCAUAUCCUGAGCCACCUCCAUCCUUCUCCCAAAUUAUUGUAACAACUUCUGAGUAGGUCCCCUAGCACUCUAUAAUCUACCCUCCACACAGAAGCAAAAGCUAUCAUAUAAAAUAAAAAUCGGAUAUAUUUUCCCCCUACAGUUGUAACUUAUGACCAUAGCCGUCCCCAACCCAACUGGUUCUCCCAUUCCACCUCCCCUCACCUAAUGUGCACAAACCACUCUCCCUUCUUUUCUGACUCACAAACAUUCAGGGCUUUUGCCUUUCCUCUGUCUGAGCCCUCUUCCCCUAGGACUUUGCAAGGCCAGUUUUUUUCUCAUCGUUAAAUUCCCAGCUCAACUGUCACCCCAGACAGGGCUCUCUGACCAGUCUCCAGUCACUCCAUCCGGACGACCCUUUUAAUUUUCCUUUCAGCAUUUAUCUAGCUGGGCCUGGUGAUGUGUGUCUGUAGUUUCAGCCACUCGGGAGGCUGAGGAAGGAGGAUUGCUGGAGCCCAGGAGUUCAAGGCUGCAGUGAGCUGUGAUCAUCACUUUGCUCCAGUCUGGAUGACAGAGCGAGACCCUGUCUCUAAAACAUAAAUAAAUAGGCCAGGUUUGGUGGCUCAUGCCUGUAAUCCCAGCACUUUUGGAGGCUGAAGCCAGUGGAUUGUUUGAGCCCAGGAAUUUGAGACCAGCCUGGACAACAGGUGAAACCCUGUUUCUAGGAAAAGCAAAAAUUAGCCAGGCAUAGUGGUACAUACCUGUGGUCCCAGAUACUCAGGAGGCUGAUGUGAAAGGACCACCUGAGCCUGGGAAGUUGAGGCUGCAGUGAGCUGAGACUGCUCCACUGAACUCUAGCCUGGGCGGCAGAGUGAGACCCUGUCUCUAAAUACAUAAAUAAAAUAAGUAAAGCACUUUUCAGUAUCUUUCUGGAAUUCUUAUCUAUUUGUUAACAUAUGUAUGGUCUUUUUCUGCUGCUGAGAGGUGAAGCCAGCUGGACUUCCUGGCUCGAGUAGGGACUUGGAGAACUUUUCUGUCUAGUUAGAGGUUUGUAAAUGCACCAAUCAGCGCUUUGUGUCUAGCCAAAGGAUUGUAAAUGCACCAAUCAGCAACUCUGUAAAAUGGACCAAUCAGCACUCUGUAAAAUGGACCAAUCAGCACUCUGUAAAAUUGACCAAUCAGCAGGAUGUGGGAGGGGACAAAUAAGGAAAUAAAAGCUGACCACCCCAGCCAGCGGGGGCGACGUGGUGGGGUCCAUUUGUAGGUUGUGGAGGAUUUGAUCUUUUGCUCUUGGAAAUAAAUCUUGCUGCUGCGCGCGCUCUCUCUCUGGGUGCAUGCUGCUUUUAAGAGCUGUGAUACUCACCAGGAAGGUCCGUGGUUUCAUUCUGGAAGUCAGCGAGACCAAGAACCCACCAGAAGGAACCAACUACAGACACACUGCUAUAUGGUCCAGCUAUGUACAAACUGAAUCAAGAUUCUAUGUACAUCAGAAUCAAGAGAGAGUGAGUUCUUGACAUCACGGAGCGGUCUACAUUCUAGUUCAUGCGGUGGACCUGCUGGGUGGCCUCAGAGGUACCUUUCAAAUGCUGGCCCAGAAAGGUGAGGCAAGGAGGGGACCUGGCCUCCAUCUCUGUGAAUCCCACAGCCCUCCUCCUGAGAUCUGCAGGGGUAGCAUGAAAUAUUUAAAAGCUCAAAUUGAAAUCUUGUUAGAGCCAGGUCUUGUAAAGCCAAGUUCUCCAACCCCAGAACAUCAGUAUCUGUUUGCUGGUGUCAUUUAGGGACCCCGGCUUUCCAAACCAUUGACUGAAACUUUCUGUCAAUCCAACACUUUUAGGGUAAUUUAACUUAAUAAUACCUUUGUCGGCACUGGCGCCUGUAUCUGAAGGGUGAUUACCAUAGAAGUUAUUUUAGGUUGUUUAAUGGAAUGUAGUAAAUUCUCAAUUGACAGGGCAGAUCCUCAAAAUGGCUUUUCAAAGUGUUUACCUUUCAAAGCUUUCUCCCUCACUUUACCGAACUUACUACUUUGAGCCAGCGAAGACUUCAUAAAUUAUUAGCAAUUGUUCUCCCCCCUGUGUUCACAUGCAUCAUUAAUUCUUUGUAAAAAGUUCAAACUGUCCGGGGCUUAAUUGUUAUCACUUGGAGAACGGCUAGAAAUGGAUGCAGGCUGUAUUAUUUCUGUCAAAAAUUUUGACUUAUUGCUCUUGAUAUUUUACCCAUCACAUCACAUCCUCGGUACAGGAGAGAGGAAAAAGGAGAGGGGGAGGAGAAAGAACAUAAAUGCGUUUUCUUGAAACAAAACAAAUAUAAUAAUACAUAUAUUUCUGAGGAGAAAAGUCAAGGAUUCAUCUGACAAAAUAAUAGUUUUAAUCCUCCAAAGAGAGAGGAGGAGGGCAGCAUUAGGGGGAAAUUUCUAUUGUAAAUUCUAUUGCUUCACACUGUACUUUUAUUCUAAGUUUUGAAGGUUGUAUAAUUCUAGGAAUCUAAUGUUUAACGAUUCUGAGAUAUUGAAAUUUUAUGAGUCCAAAUUCCCAAGGUGUUUGAUUUUAAGGAUAAAUUAAUCCCACCGUCCAGUAUUCAGGACUGCUAAAAAGUAUAGUAGAAUUAGAAAGAUAUUGACAAUAACCACAGAAAUAGCUAAGCUUUGUUGAGACCUUAACCAUAUGCAGGCACUGUGCUGAGUGCUUCAUGUGCAGCACCUUAUUUUAUUUUAUUUUAUUUUAUUUUAUUUUUUUGCUUUUGCUAAUUUUUUAAAAUUGUACUUUAAGUUCUGGGGUACAUGUGCAGAACGCGCAGGUUUGUUACAUAGGUAUACACAUGCCAGGGUGGUUUGCUGCACCCAUCAACCUGUCAUCUACAUUAGGUAUUUCUCCUAAUGCUGUCCCUCCCCUAGCCCCUCAUCCCCCAACAGGCCCCAGUGUGUGAUGUUCCCCUCCCUGUGUCCAUGUAUUCUCUUUGUUCAAUGCCCACUUAUGAGUGAGAACAUGCGGUGUUUGGUUUUCUGUUCUUGUGUUAGUUUGUUGAGAAUGAUUGUUUCCAGGUUCAUCCAUGUCCCUGUGAUCCCAUUACUGGGUAUGUGUCCAAAAGAUUAUAAAUCAUUCUACUAUAAAGACACAUGCACACGUAUGUUUAUUGCAGCACUGUUCACAGUAGCAAAGACUUGGAACCAACCCAAAUGCCCAUCAAUGAUAGACUGGAUAAAGAAAAUGUGGCACAUAUACAUGAUGGAAUACUAUGUAGCAGCACCUUAUUUAAUCUUCAUGUCACUGUAAAGUAGGUACUGUUAUUAACCCCUUAUAUAGCUGGGAAAACUGAGGCACAGAGAGGGUAAGUAACUUACUCAGGGACACACAGCUGGUAAAAAGCAGAGUUAAACUCUGACUUCAGGCCCUGUGUGUGUAGAACUUAACGUAUAUUGUGCCCCAUCUCAAGACACUGCUCUUUUGCCCCACCUGGCAUGCUGUGGAUCAGUGUAGAAGUGAUCCACAUUGGUAUAUGAGUCUAUUGUCAGACUACCCCUGAGGCAACCCAGCCCUGACCUGCUUUUUGUUUGUGUUGACGUUGCUCAUCCAGUCCAGCAGAUCACCCUUUCCCAUACAUUCUACAAGGUCAUCUCCUCCAAGAAGGCUUCAGUCCUGCCGCACCAUCCUUUGAAUCCUCACAACAGUUGGUACCAGGGAAAGGGAUAAUGAGGCAGUCUAGUAGGCUGGCCAAAAGCAUGGACUAUGGGGUCAGAUCCCUUCGGUUGGGAUCUUACUUCUGCCAGUAAAUCCAUGCGCUAAGCUUCAGUUAGGCAAGCCAUUUCAGCCUCAGCUUUCACAUCUGUAAAAUGGAUAUAACCACCCCUGCCUCACAGAACUGUUGUGAAGAGGAAGGGAGGUGCUCCAAGGGAGCUCUGUUUACUGCUUCACAACAGUCAGUGCUGAAUACAUGUUGGCUGUUGUUCUCUCUUGUCUUGUAGUGAUCUCGUACUGAGAGUUUUGUACAUUAAAGUAUAAGAGUCAGUAUUUUUUUUCCUAGUCAACAUUUAUUUUCAAUGAGAUUUGGAAAUUUCCUUACCAAAUAAUUCAAGGUGAAAGUAUAUUAAACUAUAUUUUUAAAAAUUGUAUUUUUGACAAGUGACCAUUAUAUAUAUUUAUGAGGUACAAUGAGAUGUUUUGAUUAUGUUUAUCUUGUGCAAUGAUUAAAUCAAGCUAAUUAACACAUCACCUCAUUUACUUAUCAUUUUUUGUGGUGAAAGCAUUUAAAAUCUUGUUUUUUUAGCAAUUUUGAAAUUAUAUAUUGCAUUAUUGUUUAUUAUUGUCAUCAUUCUGUACAAUAGGUCACUGAAGCUUAUUCCUUCUGUCAGCUGAAACUUUGUACCCUUUGAUCACUCUCUCCUCUUUCUCUACCCACCUGCUUCCCCCAGCCUCUGGUAACCACCAUUCUACGCUCUCAACUUCUUUAGAUUUCACAUUUUUUUAAUCCAUUCAUCUGAUGUUGGACAUUAAGGUUGCUUCCAUAUCUUAACUAUUGUGAAUUACAUUUCAAUGAACAUAGGAGUGGAAAUAUCUCUUGGGCAUAGGAUUUCAAUUCCUUUGGAUAUACACCCCACAUGGUAAUCCUAUUUUUAGUUUUCUGAGGAACUCCCAUACUGUUUUCCAUAAUGGCUGUAUUAAUUUACUUUCCCACCAACAGUGCACAAGGGUUCACUUUUUCCAUACCCACAUCAACUUAUUAUGUCUUUUUGAUAAUAGUAUUCUAACAAGUUGUGAUGAUAUAUCAUUGUGGUUUUAAUUUGCAUUUCCCUGAUGAUUAGCGAUGACCAGCACUUUUUAAUUCCUCAUUUGUCCAUUCGUAGAUCUUCUUCUGAGAAGUGUCUAUUUAGGUCCUUAGCUAAUUUUUUGAUUGGGUUAUUUAUUUUCUUGUUAUUGAGUUGUGUUUCUUAUAUAUUUUUUAUGUUAGCUCCUUAUCUGAUGUAUGGUUUGCAGAUAUUUUUUCCCAGUCCUUGAGUUGUGUCUUUACUCUAUCAGUCAUUUCCUUUGCUGUGCAGAAACUUUUUAGUUUGAUGUAACUUCAUUUGUUUGUUUUUGCUUUUGUUGCCCAUGCUUUUGGAAUCAUACCUAAGAAAUAUUUGCCCAGACCAAUAUUCUGGAGCAUUUCUCCUAUGUCCCCUCAUAGAUUCACAGACUCAGGUCUCAUGUUUAAGUCUUUAAUCCAUCUUGAGUUGAUUUUUGUAUAUGGUGUGAGGUAGGGUACAAUUUCACUCUAAUGCUUGUUGACAUCCAGUUUUCCCAACACCAUUAAUUGAAGAAGCUAUCUUUUCCCCAUUGUGUGUUCUUGGUGCUUUUGUCAAAACUCAGUAGACCAUAAAUGUGUGGGUUCACUUCUGAACUCUGUUCUAUUCUGUUGGUCAAUGUGUCUGUUUAUAUGCCAAUGCCAUGCUUUGAUUACUAUAGCUAUAUAAUAGAUUUUGAUGUCAGGUAGUGCAAUGCCUCCAGCUUUAUUUUUUUUUGCUCAAGAUGCCUUUGGUUAUUUGAGGUCUUUUGUGGUUCUAUACAAGUUUUAGGAUUGUUUUUUCUUUGCUGUGAAAAAUGACUUUGAAAUUUUGAUAGAGCUUGCAUUGAAUCUGUACAUCACUUUGGGUAGUAUGGACAUUUUAACAAUAUUAAUUCCCAAUCCAUGAACACAAAAACAUUUCCAUUUCCAGUCAUGCACUCCAUAAUGACAUUUCAGUUAGACAAUGAACUGCAUAGACAAAAGUGGUCUCCUAAGAUUAUAAUGGAGCUGAAAAAUCCCUGUUUCCUAGUGACAUCUUGAUGAUCCUGACCCUGUGUAGAUAACUAGGCUAAUGUGUGUGUGUGUCUCCUAGUUUUUAAGAAAAAAGUUUAAAAAGUAAAAAAAAAAAAAAAAAAAACUAGAAAAAGCUUAAAGAAUAAGUAUAUAAAGAAAGAAAAUAUUUUUGUACCUUGUAUAAUGUGUAUUUUACACUAUUAUCACAAAAGAGUCAAAAAGUUAAUAAAAUUAAAAAUUUUAUGAAGUAAAAAUGUUGCCAUAAUGCUAAGGUUAAUUUAUUAUUGAAUAAAAAAUGUUUUAACCUAAAUUUAGGGCAACCUAAGUGUUCAGUGUUUAUAAAGUCUGCAGUAGUGUACAGUAAUGUCCUAGGCCUUCACAUUUAUUCAGCAUUUACUCACUGACUCACCCAGAGCAACUUCCAGUCUGCAAGUUCCAUUCCUGCUAAGGGC
rnacentral:lncRNA from 1 species